CUCACUCAGGAGAAACAAAAGUGGACGUAGUCCAUGCUCUCCACUUUUUCCGAACAGCAAAAUAAAAACAACAGUCCAUUAAAUAUUGCUUGUACAACCUAAAACCCCUUGGCUGACUGAAACUGAAGCCUGAGAGCAGGAACCCUUUUUACAAUUAAAUUAUAUUUGAGAACACAAAAGCGCAUGUCCGCCCAUGCUCACACGUCCACAUACUUUAAGUAAGAGCUAAGACAUGGGGUUCCCAAAUUCAUAACAUGCACCCCCCCGUUAGUGAGAAAUACUUCAACAGUCCAAAUAUGAAUCGCAGUUGUCAAAAUAUGUAUGAAAGCAAGUUGCCAAUAAUUACGUCUGCUGAACUCCAUGUCCACAAAACAAGUCACAUGAUUUACCAACGUUAGGAUGAGAUGAAGAUUCAAUUGUACCAUACUUCGACAACUACAUUUAAUCUUUGGAGAGUUGAAACAAUCAAUCACAAAGUCCCAAAACAAGUGCAUCAUGUGUCCCCUUACCUCCACUGUCUACGAGAAAGUGUGAGAUGGUCAUUGCUGCAGAGGUCCAGUGAGUGCACUUUAACACUCCAAGAAAAGCUACAUAGUUUGGAGAAAGCUGGAUUAUUAGUCACAUGCCCUUAAUAUGUAUGUUGGCCAGACCUGUACUAGGAACUCAGUUACCUGAAACCCAGAAGUAUCACUUUAGAAAAUUCAUCCAUAUUUUAUUGUUUUGCAUUCAAAAGUAGGCUAAUACUUGGUUUCAUUUUUGAAAUGAUAAUAAAAAUGCUUCCUGGAGUUUAUACUGAAGAAACAGCGCAAACCCUCUUUUUCCAUAUACGGGUGCAUCUCAAAAAAUUCGAAUAUCAGGGAAAGGUUUUUUUUUUUCUGUAAUUGAAUUCAAAAAGUGAAACUUCCAUAUAUUUGAGAUUCAUUAAACAUAAAUUUAAAUAUAUCAAGCCUUUUUGGUUUUAAUCUUGAUGAUUACGGCUUACGGCUUACAGCUCAUGGAAAUCAAAAAUCCAGUAUCUCAAAAUAUUAGAAUAUUGGGCAGGGCUAAAAUCUAUUAAUACUUCAGUAAUAAUUACAUUACUCCACCUCACCAUAUAAAACUAGUCCAAUCCAUAGAGGGUUUAUGUCUCAAUCAGUCAACAACAAUACUGACUCUUAAUUCUAUUCAUAUCGCUUACUUAAGCAUCAGAGAAACAAACUCUAUCCAGUUUCUAGUAAAUAUCUGUUAAAGGAACAGUACUAAACUGAAAGGGAUCUGAUACCUGCCAACCCCAUUUCUUCCAACAAUCAAAAUAAAAUAAUAACACACUCAUAUUAGAGGGUAAUGUUAACUAGAAAUCCUGAAAUUUCUAUUCAUAGACUACAAAAUAGCUACCUUAAUGCUAGCAAGCAUGCUUGGUAGUUAGCAUUGCUAGAUAACUUGCUAGUGUCUAACAUUAGAGAGGCUAUUCAUCCAUAAAUAGUGUUUAGUUCAAAUGUUGGCUAGUUGGGGGACUUGGAUGUCACAUAGUUAUGGUUAAUUUAGCUAGAAACUUGAAUCAGCAAGUUACCUGUUCGCAGGCUUGAGUAACAUAUGUUUACCUGUCACUGGAGAGUCUGCUGCUUUUAGUCACUAAGCUCUUAAAGAUGCGAUGCUGCAACAUUUCUUUUCAAUCAAGUACCUUAAUCUUUAUCCAAGAAUAUGAACUACCAUUUCAAUGUUUACAUGUUUGUGAAAGUUUCCUGUCAGAAACUGGUGUACGGAAGCACGUAUACAGCAUAUAAAAGUAUGGGGAGCCAAUCAGAUUGCAACCUUAAAGAUUCUGAAGCUUGUGGCCAGAUAAGUGCACAAAAGGUAUCAGGCAUUAUGUGGAUCUGUGGAUGAGUCUGUCUGUUGGUGUUAACUGGGGUAUUUUUAGCCAAGUUGAUUAGCUAGAUCAGUCUCCAAAAAUGUGUUAAAUUAGCCAAUUCUUGGUUGUUCCAAAUAGAGAUCAAUGGAAAUUGACGAGAUCUGAUUUCACAUACUGGAAUUGUCGUUCUGCAGUGAGGAGCAUCUGGAAAGUGAUGACCACCUUUCUAUGUAACUGCAUAAAGGACAAGUAUAAAUGUAUUUGCUUGAAAGUGCAUUUCUCUAAUCUCCAUUAAAGGGACGUGUGAAAAGUCAACGGAUAGUUAGUUAGUGGGUUGUAUCAGAAUUAGGGAAAACUUUAUAUACACUUUUAUCUCUGUGUACG
ensembl:lncRNA